rnacentral:lncRNA from 11 species
AACACAUUAUUAAGUCAUGCACAUGUGUCAAAUGGAAGGGGCUCCUGAGGCAGCGAGUUCCAACGUUCCCUGCCAUUCUCUCUUCCCCGCUAGGUGCUGCUGUUUCUUCAAGAGGAGGAAGAGGAAAACCAGCCAGCGCCACAAGUGAGGCCGCGUUCCCCGCUUGGGACGUUUGGGGACGGCCUUCUCGCCGCCCGCCCAUGGAUGAUGGGUCUCGAAACACUCUCACUCUCACACACGCUUCUGGGCCCCGCUUUGCCCCCCGAAGCAGGCCGAGGCCGCUUGGACUCCAUCGAGAGACCCCCGCGGGGCGCCUGGGACGUCUGUGGCCCCGCGGCGGAAAGGCGGCCGUUCUCCGACUCUUUCCAGUCUCCUCCUCCUCUCCGUUUCGGGAAUCAAAGAAGGAAAAGAAGCCGGUGAUUCGAAGGAACAGAGAAUUAUUUUCGCCCUUUCCCCCUCCCUUUGGCUUCCGUGUCUGUUUUAAGUUAAUUUUUUUAAUAUCCGCUUCUUUUUCCGGGGGAGUCGGUGAACAAGGAGGCUGAUGAGGCGGAGAGUGAUGAGGAGGAGGAUUUAUUUUUCUAAACGGGGAGAGCCGGUGUCUCCCUCCCCCCGGGUUGAUCAGUGCACUUUUGGGUCGCAAUACAUGCAAACGCCGGUGUGUCACGAAAUCGUCCCCGUUCUUUUUGUUAGACACUGUUAUUUUCGCGUGUCCGAACGAGACGAGGAUAAAUUUAAGGUGAGAAGGAGAAAAGCCUACGAUCUCAGGAACCGGCUGCCGGGCAAAACGAGGACCUUCUCUCCUUUUUCUUUCACCCUUCCCUCCCUCCCUUCUUUCCCACAUUCCCCUCUUCCUUUCCUUUCUAUUCCCUUCCUCCAUUUCUCUUUUUUUCUCUUUCUUUCUUUCUUUCUUGAUGCCGGGAGGAGGGCGAGGUGUUUCCGAGAGCACUCUGGAGGGCUCUCAGCCGCUGCGUGCCUUCCUCAGGCCAUCCUCUUGGCAUUAGGAUGGGGCUACUCACACUGGGAGGAGGGCAAGACAUGCUGUGGGUGAGACAUCUUCAGGAUGUCCUCUCGCCAUUAUGCAGGGAGGAGGGCAAGGUGUCGCCGAGAGCGCUCUGGAGGGCUCUCAGCCGUUGCGUACCAUCGUCUCGGUAUAAGGACGGGGCUAUUCACACCAUCCUCAUACUGGGAGGAAGGUGAGACAUGCUGUGGCUGAGACAUCUUCGGGAUGUCCUCGGCAUUAUGCUGGGAGGAGGGCAAGGUGUCGCCGAGAGCACUCUGGAGGGCUCUUAGCCACUGCGUGCCAUCCUCUCAGCAUAAGAUGGGACUACUCACACCAUCCUUAUACUAGGAGGAAGGUGAGACAUGCUGUGGCUGAGAUACCUUCGGGCUGUCCUCUCGGCAUUAUACCGGGAGGAGCGUGAGAUGUCGUCUAGAGCACUCUGGAGCUCUUAGCCGCUGCGUGCCUUCCUCGGGCCAUCCUCUCGGCAUUAGGAUGGGGCUACUCAUACCGUCCUUAUACUGGGAGGAGAGCAAGACAUGCUGUGGCUGGACAUCUUCAGGAUAUCCUCUCGCCAUUAUGCAGGGAGGGUGAGGUGUCGCUGAGAGCACUCUGGAGGGCUCUUAGCUGCUGUGUACCAUCUUCUCGGUAUAAGGACGGGGCCACUCACACCAUCCUUAUACCGGGAGGAAGGUGAGACAUGCUGUGGCUGAGACACCAUCGGAAUGUACUCUCGGCAUUAUGCCGGGAGGAGGACGAGACGUUGCUGAGAGCACUCCGGAGCGUUCUCAGCCACUGUGUGCCUUCCUCGGGCCGUCCUCUCGGCAUAAGAAUGGGGCCGCUCACAGUGUUCUUAUACUGGGAGGAGGGCACUUUUUGGAUGUCCUCUCGGCAUUAUGCCGGGAGGAGGGAGAGACAGGCAACUGCCGAGAGCACUCUGGAGCUCUUAGCAACUGUGUGCCUUCCUCAGGCCAUCCUCUCGGCAUAAGGACAGGGCCACUCACACUGGGAAGAGAGCGAGACAUGCUGUGGCUGAGAUAUCUUCAGGAUAUCCUCUGAACAUUAUGCAGGGAGGACAGUGAGACAUGAGACAGCCGAGAGCACUCUGGAGGGCUCUUAGCCGUUGUGUGCCAUCCUCCCGGCAUAAAGAUGGGACUACUCACACCAUCCUUAUAUGAGGAGGAAGGUGAGACAUGCUGUGGCUGAGAAAUCUUCGGUAUGUCCUCUGAACAUUAUGCAGGGAGGACGGUGAGACACGAGACAGCCGAGAGCGCUCUGGAGGGCUCUUAGCCGUUGCGUGCCAUCCUCCCGGCAUAAAGAUGGGACUACUCACACCAUCCUUAUAUGCUUUUUUUUCUUCCUUCCCCUACUUUCCUUUUCUUGGACGACGGGGGUGGGCUUUCAACUCCAAAACUUCAAGGAAUCCUUAGGGAGUUAAGGACGGAAAUACCGGGAAAGGAUAUUUCUCUGCUCGUCGUUCCUUUGAGCCCCAGAAAAGCCCUUCUUUGAAAGUCAGGACGGAUGCUUCCGAAGAGCUUCUUUAUAGAGAAAUAUAUAUAUUUUUAUACAAAGGGAUAUAGAUAUAUAUAUAUGUAGAAAGCUGAUGUGUUUGAACCCUAUUACUAAGGGAAAGAAGGGGCUUAAAAGGCUCACUCUGUUGGGUCUUCAAUCCAUGAGAACCGGGAGAAAGAAGGGAAGAAAGAAAGGCAGAAUCCUCUAUUUGGGCGAUUUCCCAGUCGUGGGAUUGAAAUACGUCGCGGGCCCCAUAACCCAAAAGAAAACAUUGCUAAUACUGUUGUGUUUUUUUUUUCUUCUUUUAAGACAAAAAAGAGGUUGAAGUUUGUGCUCCGAAAAGAAAGGCAGGCGAGACAGAGGCUGUUGUGAGUUUAGUUACUGCUUUAAAGAAACAAAACAAAAACAAGGUAACGGCGCCCGUGUUUCCUCGAAGCCAUAGCAGUUAGGGGCUUUUAUAUUUAAAAAAAAAAAAAGGGAGGGAGGAAAAAAAACAACCCAAAAAUUAAACAAAAAAAAAACUUGAAAAUGAUCUCUUCCUGCCGAGGAUGUUUUGUUGUGUUUUCUUUCGGGGAGGGCGAAACAAACAAACAAAAAACUGAUGGAAGCUCUGGUGUUGUUGUGAGAUGCUUUGUUAAGGUAAAAAGCACACAUCUGUGUUGUAGAUGGAUUAGAUGGAAUAUUAAGAACACCUAAAGCUUUAGAGAGUCUCAUAAGACCAUAGGUAAGCAAAGAGACCUCCAAAGACCAUCUAGAAGGUCUCAUAGGACCAUAGGUAAGCAAAGAGACCUCCAAAAGCCAUCUAGAUGGUCUCAUAAGGCUGUAGCUAAGCAAAGAGACCUUCAAAGACCAUCUAGACUUUCUCAUAGGACCAUAGGUAAGCAAAGAGACCUCCAAAAGCCAUCUAGAUGGUCUCAUCAGGCCGUAGCUAAGCAAAGAGACCUCCAAAGACCAUCUAGAAGGUCUCAUAGGACCAUAGGUAAGCAAAGAGACCUCCAAAAGCCAUCUAGAUGGUCUUGUAAGACCAUAGGUAAGCAAAGAGACCUUCAAAGACCAUCUAGAAGGUCUCGUAAGACCAUAGGUAAGCAAAGAGACUUCCAAAGACCAUCUAGAAGGUCUCAUAAGACCAUAGGUAAGCAAAGAGACCUCCAAAAGCCAUCUAGAUGGUCUCAUGAGGCUGUAGUUAAGCAAAGAGACCUCCAAAGACCAUCUAGAAGGUCUCAUAAGACCAUAGGUAAGCAAAGAGACCUUCAGAGACCAUUUAGAAGGUCUCAUAAGAUCAUAGGUAAGCAAAGAGACCUUCAAAGACCAUCUGGAAGGUCUCAUAAGACCAUAGGUAAGCAAAGAGACCUCUAAAGACCAUCUCGAAGGUCUCAUAAGACCAUAGGUAAGCAAAGAGACCUCCAAAGACCAUCUAGAAGGUCUCG